GCUUCCGGUCUGAUCUAAACAGGGUCCGGCCUGGUUAGUACUUGGAUGGGAGAUCGCCUGGGAAUACCCUGUGCUGUAGGCU
rnacentral:rRNA from 1 species